rnacentral:rRNA from 1 species
GAAUCUAGCUUGUGGAUGGGGACAACCACGGGAAACGGUGGCUAAUACCCAAUGUGCCGUUAGGUGAAAAAUUAAUUGCCACAAGAAGAGCUCGCGUCCGAUUAGCUAGUUGGUGAGGUAAAAGCUCACCAAGGCAACGAUCGGUAGCUGGUCUGAGAGGAUGACCAGCCACACUGGGACUGAGACACGGCCCAGACUCCUACGGGAGGCAGCAGUGGGGAAUUUUCCGCAAUGGGCGCAAGCCUGACGGAGCAAGACCGCGUGAGGGAGGAAGGCUCUUGGGUUGUAAACCUCUUUUCUCAGGGAAGAACAAAAUGACGGUACCUGAGGAAUAAGCCUCGGCUAACUCCGUGCCAGCAGCCGCGGUAAUACGGAGGAGGCAAGCGUUAUCCGGAAUUAUUGGGCGUAAAGCGUCCGCAGGUGGCUUGUCAAGUCUGCUGUCAAAGGUCAAGGCUUAACCUUGAAAAGGCAGUGGAAACUGACAAGCUAGAGGGCUCUAGGGGUAGAGGGAAUUCCCGGUGUAGCGGUGAAAUGCGUAGAGAUCGGGAAGAACAUCGGUGGCGAAAGCGCUCUACUGGAGAGCAACUGACACUCAGGGACGAAAGCUAGGGGAGCG